AGAGUUUGAUCAUGGCUCAGAUUGAACGCUGGCGGCAGGCCUAACACAUGCAAGUCGAGCGGUAGCACAGAGAGCUUGCUCUCGGGUGACGAGCGGCGGACGGGUGAGUAAUGUCUGGGAAACUGCCUGAUGGAGGGGGAUAACUACUGGAAACGGUAGCUAAUACCGCAUAAUGUCGCAAGACCAAAGUGGGGGACCUUCGGGCCUCAUGCCAUCAGAUGUGCCCAGAUGGGAUUAGCUAGUAGGUGGGGUAACGGCUCACCUAGGCGACGAUCCCUAGCUGGUCUGAGAGGAUGACCAGCCACACUGGAACUGAGACACGGUCCAGACUCCUACGGGAGGCAGCAGUGGGGAAUAUUGCACAAUGGGCGCAAGCCUGAUGCAGCCAUGCCGCGUGUGUGAAGAAGGCCUUCGGGUUGUAAAGCACUUUCAGCGGGGAGGAAGGCGUUAAGGUUAAUAACCUUGGCGAUUGACGUUACCCGCAGAAGAAGCACCGGCUAACUCCGUGCCAGCAGCCGCGGUAAUACGGAGGGUGCAAGCGUUAAUCGGAAUUACUGGGCGUAAAGCGCACGCAGGCGGUCUGUCAAGUCGGAUGUGAAAUCCCCGGGCUCAACCUGGGAACUGCAUUCGAAACUGGCAGGCUAGAGUCUUGUAGAGGGGGGUAGAAUUCCAGGUGUAGCGGUGAAAUGCGUAGAGAUCUGGAGGAAUACCGGUGGCGAAGGCGGCCCCCUGGACAAAGACUGACGCUCAGGUGCGAAAGCGUGGGGAGCAAACAGGAUUAGAUACCCUGGUAGUCCACGCCGUAAACGAUGUCGAUUUGGAGGUUGUGCCCUUGAGGCGUGGCUUCCGGAGCUAACGCGUUAAAUCGACCGCCUGGGGAGUACGGCCGCAAGGUUAAAACUCAAAUGAAUUGACGGGGGCCCGCACAAGCGGUGGAGCAUGUGGUUUAAUUCGAUGCAACGCGAAGAACCUUACCUGGUCUUGACAUCCACAGAACUUAGCAGAGAUGCUUUGGUGCCUUCGGGAACUGUGAGACAGGUGCUGCAUGGCUGUCGUCAGCUCGUGUUGUGAAAUGUUGGGUUAAGUCCCGCAACGAGCGCAACCCUUAUCCUUUGUUGCCAGCGGUCCGGCCGGGAACUCAAAGGAGACUGCCAGUGAUAAACUGGAGGAAGGUGGGGAUGACGUCAAGUCAUCAUGGCCCUUACGACCAGGGCUACACACGUGCUACAAUGGCAUAUACAAAGAGAAGCGACCUCGCGAGAGCAAGCGGACCUCAUAAAGUAUGUCGUAGUCCGGAUUGGAGUCUGCAACUCGACUCCAUGAAGUCGGAAUCGCUAGUAAUCGUAGAUCAGAAUGCUACGGUGAAUACGUUCCCGG
rnacentral:rRNA from 1 species